CAGCACGUUAAAAUACCGGUCCCCUUAUAAUCACCGAAGUUAAGCAAAGUUGAGCCUGGUCAGUACCUAGAUAGGUGACCAUUUUGGAAUACUAGGUGCAGCAA